UUAGUGCCCCGAUGCCUACACCCGGUCGGUCUCUCUGUCAGUCCGGCAGCGGUCUGCGCCAUGAAGAGUGGAGCCGUUGGGUUUGGCUUUUCUCUCUUGGAAGCGCAGAUAUCGCCCCAGUCACCGUGGCUCUUUCCUCCCCGCAUCCCACGCCCUCCACCCUCCCCCUUCCUCCAUCCCACACUCCCAUGAUCUGCCACGGGUACCUGCACAUCCCGGUGGCCGGCGGCGCCCCGCUUAUUGCAGUGUCGGCCUGCCGCUCCGCCCCUCCUACCCCACGCAUCCAUCCCCGAAGACCUGCCGGAGGAGCCCUCCACUUCCUGGCGGCCGCCGGCGCCCCGCUGUUCCCUGCAUCGAGCGCAAGUCCUCCACGUCAACCUGAGGGCACAACACCUCCACCCCUGCUCCUCCCCCUCCGGCGUGAGGCCGCCGCUCUGUCCCUGCGUCGACAGGGGAUGGAUGCGCGUCAAAGCAGCUGUUGGUGGCGCGAGAGGUGGGGUUCAGCGGCAGGCCUUGUCGGCGUCAGUAGCCAGACCGGCAGGGAUAUAUAGUAGGCUACUUGUGGAUGGCACUGCUGCCUGUUCAAUUUGUUAGAUAGACAGUAGAAUUGCAGGGCAGCAUCGUCUUGAACGCAGGAAAAGUGGUGGUUGGCAGACAGAUAUGUUGGUCUCUCUCCACCGUGGUAGAUGAGAAUGGCCUGGGAUUUGCUGAUCUCUCUCAAGUGCUGCAGGAACCUAAGUAUCUACAAGGAGGAGCAACGCCCUGAAGAAGCUCAUGCUGUUGCUAGGCCAAGGAAGAAGCUUAAGGAGCUGCAUUCCUUCACAUUUAGCUACGAUGUAAUGGUUAACAAUCCAGAGUACAGCUUCAUUGUGAUCUAAUGUUUAAGCAAUAUUAAGAAUUCAGAGUUAUUGUGGUUAUCGCUGUAGCGAGCAGCCGCAACCCGCUUUUGACGAGGUGACUGUAAAUUGUGGUUAGUGGUUAGCGCUUCUUCCAUCUAUUGCUGAACUUGCUUGGUGCGAUGCUGUAAACAUUGGUUCAAUGAAAUCUGAAUAGGCGUUUGUCUAA